rnacentral:rRNA from 1 species
AGAGUUUGAUCCUGGCUCAGAAUCAACGCUGGCGGCAUGCCUAACACAUGCAAGUCGAACGAGAAAGUCCUUCGGGAUGAGUACAGUGGCGUACGGGUGAGUAACGCGUGGGUUAUCUACCUCUGGGUGGGGAAUAACUCGGGGAAACUCGAGCUAAUACCGCAUAAUACGUUUACGUUAAAGCAGCAAUGCGCCUGGAGAUGAGCCUGCGUCCGAUUAGCUUGUUGGCGGGGUAAUGGCCCACCAAGGCGAUGAUCGGUAGCCGGCCUGAGAGGGCACACGGCCACACUGGCACUGAAACACGGNCCAGACUCCUACGGGAGGCAGCAGUGGGGAAUCUUGCACAAUGGGGGAAACCCUGAUGCAGCGACGCCGCGUGAGUGAUGAAGCCCUUCGGG